rnacentral:lncRNA from 1 species
GGGUUCCGCCGGAGCGCCGCGGGCGGAGCGUUUUCGCGCUGGCGCACUCUCCGUCUCUUGCGGGGAGCGCGGGCAGCGGGGCCCGCACCGCAGCAGGCAGCCUUCCAGACUCCCCCAGGCAGCCAGACUGUGCUCUUCCCACCCACGCCAGUCCCUUCCCUGGAUUUACUUACCAAAGAGGGAGAAGCAGGCUCCCCACCAAGCAGGAAGCCCCAUGCAGGACUCAAUCCCAAGACCCUGCAAUCAUGACCUGGGCUGAAGGCAGACGCUUAACCGACAGAGCCACCCAGGCACCCCACUACUAG